UUAGUUAUACAAAAUAACUAUCAGACCGUGAGGUAAAUGCUUUGAUCAAUGCAUAUUCGAUUCUUUCUUC
rnacentral:tRNA from 1 species